AUUUUUCUAUUUUUCCACUUGUUUGAUCUAAAUUUGGGGCUUCACACGACGACCACGUGUGCAAAUAUUAACAGCUGCAAAAGCUAGCGAGCUUAUGAUCCACAGUCUGUUUUUUCUCCUUUUUCCUAAAUAACAUUCUGGUAUUUGUUUUGAAAGCUAAAUUGGCUCCUCAUUGUUUACCCUAUUGCUCAGAAGAAUGCGGUAGUUACUUUGUCUCGCCCCUCCCCGGGAACCUGUAUUAUGCAACACCAAAAUAAUGGCCCAGCCGGGCCACGCUAUAUGUUUGAAAUGCAAAGCAGAGACGGCGCUUCGUUAAUAAUUGCCAUAAUUGUAUAAGUAUGUGGAAACUGCUACACAAAAUGGAGCAAUGACUAUUAUCAGGUUGAUAACCAAUAAUUACUUACAAACUCUGUGCUCAUUAAGCAGCUCCUGCGGAGAAACUGAGCUCAAUAUAGCCCUCCAGAAUCCCCUCCCCUCGCCCACCAGGAUCCCGCUGCUCUCCCUCUCCCUCUCGUUAUAUCCCACUUUCUCUCUCCUCUUUCUCCAACCUGCUCUGCUUUUCAUUCCAUCUGUUACCCAAAUUGUUCUGUUUCAAUCAGUUUCCAUCUCUUCACUCUGACCCGCUCGUCUUUGCCCCCUUCUCUUUUUCUUCCUCGGCCUUCCGUUCUCUCUAUCUGUGAGUGGCGAUCACCGCAAUCUUUCUUCCCCUUCCACACAUAUUCCUGCUAAAUCCCAACAUCCUGUUUAUUUAUGUACAUGGCAUGCUGCUCACCACCUCCCUCCUCUCUCUGGUCUUUCUCUCCCUGAAAGAUUAACCAUCCCCUCUGCAUCUCUUCUCAUCUAUCAUCCUAAUGGGGUCUACAAGAGGGAAAAAACAACAAUUUGCAGAGGGAGAAACAGCCGCAGAAGGGCAAGGAAAGUGUUUGGAUUGCAACUGUUGAUCAAGUUCCAGUCGUGUCAUGACGUGACGUGACGCUGGCGGCACAGGACCAGACCUCAUCUUUAACAGCUGAAAUUGUCAUCUGUGACGCAAUGCACCUGCACUUUGGGCACAGAUGAUUUUGUAUCUUUCGAGCUCUGUUUGCCUCAAAUAUCGCCCUCAACCUCCUCUCCAAAAGCGUCCUCUACUGUAAGUGGGAGAAGCCAACCGCGGGAGGCCCCUGGUAACCACAUGCUAUCACAGCUCGGCCUUCCAGCCUCCAACCGUGACACGCUUACACUCAUCCACUCCACAGGGGAAGUGUUGAGCCUCGCUCGCCGACAGGUGCAGACUUCAGCAAGGUGUCAGCUGAGGAGAGAAAGCUGUUCUUGAGCCUGCUGGUCCUGGAUUGGAGCGUCCUUUAGCGCCUUGCAGAGUAGAGGAGGGCAAACAGUCUGUGGCCGAGGUGCUGCAGAAGACGUGCACUGUAUGCAGCGCAGGACUUCAUCUCCAUGUGCGACAACGGUCUUCAGCUUUGAGGGCAGCUCUGGAGAUGCCCAUGCCUGGAGGAAUCCUGUCUGGGUACCUCACAGCUAUCUUCAUGCCGUUCAGCUCAUAGCCCUGAAGAAGUGAACAGAGAUCACAAAGAAUAGUUUUAUAGGAGGAGUGAAUAUGCUAGAUGAAAGUUGAUACGCUGUCCUGGCAGAAACAUAUUCCUCAUUGUGUUCAUGUAGGAAAGGGAGCAAUACUUUGUCUUCAGAGUGAACAGAUAGCAGGGCUGAUUACGACUAAUGUAGGUGUUUGUAGCUGAAUUAAAAGAACUUGCUUGGUUGUAAAAUGCAAUAAAUGUUUUCACUAGUCUUGCAGAACAAAA